CUCCAAGCAAAAUAUGCAUAUGAAAAUUGUGCGAUUUGUUGUUGACUUCCACAUUCAGAGAGACUGCCUCUUCAGAUCUUUUGCAUCCUGGUUAUCUACUUCAUUGAAAACAAGCAAGGAUAUUAUGAAGUCGGCUGUAUUGUUUAUAGUGCUUUUGAAUUUGUGCAUGUAUACAAUAGUAUGCGCAACGACAGUGUGGGCAAUUGAACAUGAAAUCCUCACAGUGCUGGGAACUCCACUACCCAACCUAUAGUGGGCGGUCUACUUUCUGAUGGCUUCACUCUCUUGGCCAUGGGGUAGGCUAAAUUUGGGAAGAGUUUAAACAGACGGGUUAUUUGUUGUUUGUUGCAUAUUAAAUCUUAUUCAUCAUAAUUGUAAGUUGUUCACUUUCAACACUUAAAACUCACUGGAAUGACUAAUAUCGAGUCUACAAUUCAUGCAAAUUGGUGCGGAAGGAAAUCCAUUUGCACAGUUGAAACUCGCGUCUGAAAAUGGUGGAGUCAUACUCCAGGGUUGUCAUUCAAUUGCAUCGCUGGAUACAACGUACGAGAGUAUCAUAUUGAAAAGUGUUUACUUCAAUGGUUACCCAUUCUUGCAACCAUUGUUUUACAUUCCCAAAAACCAAAUGAUAGAUCUAUUUGAAGUUUCCUUCAACAAUUUUUAAGAUCAUCAGAAAUGUUGUUGCUUUAUUAUACUUGGAAUUUUCUAGCUUCUAUUGAUGGAAAAUUCUUCAAACUA